rnacentral:rRNA from 1 species
GAUGAACGCUGGCGGCGUGCCUAAUACAUGCAAGUCGAGCGAACGGACGAGAAGCUUGCUUCUCUGAUGUUAGCGGCGGACGGGUGAGUAACACGUGGAUAACCUACCUAUAAGACUGGGAUAACUUCGGGAAACCGUAGCUAAUACCGGAUAAUAUUUUGAACCGCAUGGUUCAAAAGUGAAAGACGGUCUUGCUGUCACUUAUAGAUGGAUCCGCGCUGCAUUAGCUAGUUGGUAAGGUAGCGGCUUACCAAGGCAACGAUGCAUAGCCGACCUGAGAGGGUGAUCGGCCACACUGGAACUGAGACACGGUCCAGACUCCUACGGGAGGCAGCAGUAGGGAAUCUUGCGCAAUGGGCGAAAGCCUGACGGAGCAACGCCGCGUGAGUGAUGAAGGUCUUCGGAUCGUAAAACUCUGUUAUUAGGGAAGAACAUAUGUGUAAGUAACUGUGCACAUCUUGACGGUACCUAAUCAGAAAGCCACGGCUAACUACGUG